CUGAAAGCGACGAGUACUUCCGCUCCGCCCGUUGGCCCUUCCGGUCUCCUCAGUGUCGUAGGGCGGUGACGUGAUCCGGUUGCGCCGAGCGGGAUGGUGCUGCAGUUGACCUGGCCGAUCCCCAGGCUGAAAUCAUUCCACAGGUUACAAAUAAUACUACAGCACUUGCGUAUGUCCAAACACACAGAUUCUGUGCAUGAAGUAUUGCUGGAAAAGAAAGGAUGUGCUGGAAUAAUAACUAUGAAUAGGCCAAAGGCUCUAAAUGCAUUAAAUCUUCCCAUGAUUCAACAGAUUUAUCCGCAGUUAAAGACAUGGGAAGCAGACCCUGAAACCUUUCUAAUCCUUAUUAAGGGAACUGGAGGAAAGGCUUUUUGUGCUGGUGGCGAUAUCAGAGCUAUCACAGAUGCUGGAAAAGCUGGGGGUAGGCUGGCACAAGAUUUCUUCAGAGAGGAAUACAUCCUGAACAAUGCCAUCGGUACUUGUCAGAAACCAUACGUGGCCCUUAUUGAUGGUAUUACAAUGGGAGGGGGUGUUGGUCUGUCAGUCCAUGGACAUUUCAGGGUAGCUACUGAGAAGACACUUUUUGCAAUGCCAGAGACCGCAAUAGGCCUUUUCCCUGAUGUAGGCGGAGGCUAUUUCUUGCCAAGACUUUCAGGGAGGAUUGGCUAUUACCUUGCUCUUACAGGAUUUCGGUUAAAAGGAAGAGAUGUGCAAAAAGCAGGAAUUGCUACACACUUUGUAGAAUCAGAAAAGCUGCCCGCUCUGGAAAGAGAUUUGACAGCACUGAAAUCACCUUCAAAAGAAAAUGUUGCAGAACUAUUGAACUCCUAUCAUGUAAAGUGCAAAAUUGACCAGGAAAAGCAAUUCAUACUUGAUGAACACAUGGAGAAGAUUAACAGUAUGUUUUCAGCAAGCAGCAUGGAAGAAAUCAUGCAGAAUUUGAAGAAGGAUGGUGGUCCUUUUGCUCUUAAGCAGCUAGAGACCAUUAGUAAAAUGUCACCAACAUCCUUAAAGAUGACUUUCAGACAGCUUCAAGAAGGGGCUUCCAUGGACCUGCAAGAUGUUCUAACAAUGGAAUACAGACUGAGCCAGGCAUGCAUGAGGGGCCAUGACUUCUAUGAAGGUGUUCGAGCAGUGCUGAUUGACAAAGACCAAGCCCCAAAGUGGAAGCCAGCUACCUUAGAAGAAGUAACAGAUGAAGUUUUGGACAGUUGCUUUAAGUCACUGGGAAGCAACGAUCUCAAGUUAUAAUGGAGCUGGAGAAACCUCUGGAAGUUUUAUUCAUCUGAUUUAAUAUUAGGAUAUAAAAAAGAAUAGUGGUGCAAAGAUUUUGGAGGAGGAGUUUAGUGAACUCCCCCUGGUUUUUGGUGCCAGUGGAAUAAUGUCUUUCUGAUGAGAACCGAGGCGUAAAUUCACUGCUGAUGUCAGAGGGUGAAGCUCUGUUGGCUUCAAUGGUGUAGGGAUGAGGUUGGUCCCAAGACUAUAGCAGAUGGUUGGAGUUUAGGUAACCAGAAAGUGGAAAGACAUCACAUGGAUGAAUUCAGGUUUCGUUUUUAUAGGUAUGGACAGCCCCCAUACAGUGUAACCAUGGCAUUCUAAUACAAGCAGCUGAGGGCAGGAUUUGUGGAAACUAAAAGGAAAUAUACUGUGUGUACUGUGAGUUUGGAACAGGCCAAGCAGAGGGACUGAAGAAUUCAGAUACCUGAAAUCUCUGGGGUGGGGGUAAGGGAGCAGUAUAUGGUAUUUGAAGCCCAGAAAUCGCUUCCAGUACUUAAGAAAGAAGUUCCAGCUGCAAAAUAGGUCUGUUCAUAUUCUACAUGCAAGCUCUGCUAAAUUCCCUGCUUGAAGUCUCGCUCCCUCUACUACUUGGCUCUGUUCCUUGGGCUGGGUGCAGAGGAGAUGAUUUGGGGCUAUACUAUAAGUACAAAACUAGUAAUGGUAGGAAGAACCAAUUAUUUACAUGAGCUUGUUAGCUGGCCCCUGUGGCCAGUGCACUUGCAGUUAGUAGUGUAACUUUUAAGUUAAAUAUAUAACUGGAAAGAAGCUAAGCUUGGUGAUUGAAAACUCCCAAGGAAAAUGUUAAAAUAUUGCUGCUGUCCAGCUGGUCUUGCAGUUAGCAUGUACAUUUAUUUACAGAAGCUGAACUGGGGCACUUUUCUGAACCCUAGAUUUAAGAACGACUAGAAAACUGCAGUCAAUAUUGUGAAAAGUUGAUGCUGAGUUAGCUUUUAACACCUGGAGCUCAGAUCUGAAGAAGAAUUGAUUGCAUUCAAAAGCUUGCUUAAGUCUACCCAAAGCAUGCAGUUGGUCCAGUAAAAAAUAUCACCCAAACAGAUCCUUGCCUUUUCCCCCCUGAUAACAUGGACAGGGGAGCAGGAAGAGAGAACAGAACCUGCAUUUUAAACCAGCUGCUGAACGUAUCUUCAAACAUGUCUGAAAAGCUGCUGCUCCACCUGAGGCUGGUGAUGAUGAUAAUGCCCUGAAGUUCCACAGUGCAACGAGAUCCCCUUGAUACCAUCCCAACUUUAUUAUGUAAAAUUAUCAUCUCUACUAUUCUGUAUGUCACACAUGAUCACUGGUCUAUGUACUGCAUGUUCAACACGAAGACUGAAUGCUUUUUACAGUUAGUUUGAAAAGCUAAAUUUCAGUGGCUCUUUCCAGUUGUUUCUAUGGCAACAGACAAUGAGGUCACACAUGUAGGAUUUUGAGUUCUCUGCAGACUAGUGAAGAGUAGGAUAUGAGAUGAAAGGGUGAAAGCUUUUGUUCAGAUAGAAACAUGUUCAGUAAUUCGCACUGGCAAAAGGGAAAAAAAAGAAUAGAAUGACAGAGUGGAAAGACGGAAGAAGUGUUUGUAACGCUCUCGAAGGUGGUGUGCAGCAGUGACUAGAAUGCAGUAUAUUAUUCAGUGUUCCUUCUGCCCUAGGAUUUAUAGGUACUGGUAAUAAAGCAGACACUGGUUGAACCACAAUAUCUUUAUUUAAAUAAAGUAGAGGAGAGCAAGCCUGAGAAACACUGGAAACUCAGCUCCUCUUUUCAGAGACCUGGAAUCUUUGGUAAAAUUUUUAUCCAGCUGCUUUUUAAUGUGACCACAUAUAUUUUAGAUACUAAUAACAAAUAGCCUCAGCAGUAUUGAUACACCAAUGAGUCAUUUGUGACAAAAGGACUUAAGCUUCUAAAACAAAUAUCUGUUUGAAAAAUUUACUCUUUUAAAUUUAGCACUAUUUAAAAUAGUAUAACCUGGGAAGCAUCCAGGGAACUUCUUUUCUUUUUUUUUUCCAGCAAAAUUUUUGCUCCCUAUACUCCUCUGGGUGCUUAGUAACCCAAGUCAAGAACAUCAGUUCCUUGGGUCAGGGAUUGUGCCUUCUCUGUUUGUCAAGUGCCUGGCAUGCUAAUGUAAUUGCAAGGGUUUAUAUGGAAGUUAAGUAUAAUGCACUGUGUAUUUUAAUUGAAUAAAAACCUUACAGCAAUUAAUUGCAACUUAAUUUUAUUCAGUUUAAAAAGAAAGUUUUUUUUUUUCCCACAAAAAUAUUGUAAAAAUAUAUUGUAAUGUGCUACAGUUGGGGACUCAGUCCUGUAUGGCUGCUGAAGUGUCACUUUUACAAAGUUGUGCUGUAGUGAACAUUCUUGAACCAUCAUUAGAGUAUCAGGCAAGGCAGAUAACAUCCAUUUAGACUAUAUUUAGUGAGGUGUCACCUAUCCUGUUCUAUGGGACAAGGUAAUGGAGCUGGAAAUGCAUUUUUAGAAAGAAUGUGCUAAUGUCAGAUGAAAAGCAAAACAAGUUCAAUUCUUGAACCAAUGAUGCAGCUGUAUUUUUAAACUGUAGUAUUGUUUUUAUUACAAUCAAUAGACAACUAUUUCAGUUGAGAUGUAAUUUUAUUUUGGUAAAGACUUUUGUCUUCAUCCUUCCCAGAAAUACUUCAGAAUUUAGAAUAGUGUAGUAUUGUCUGUUUUAAGGGUAGAGGCAUUUGGGAAGAAGUGUCCUGUUGUCUGGCUCUUAUACUCCUUACUGCUGUCUCUGUUGCUCCUGAAAUUGUGUUUUCCCAUCUGCUGUGUGCUUGCCUAAAGUGUUACCAUCCAAGGAAGUGUCACUUCUGUUAGACAGCUGGUCUAGCAGUCUAGGGUGUAUUAAAGCUGCUGUAAACUGGCAGGCAGUAGUGGGAGCAGACAAGGUUUGAACACCUGAGCUAAGAGAUUUCAGUCUGGAAAGGACUUUGUAGUGCAAGAUGAUUUUAGUAGGGUCUACACUGUAGGUGGCAGCCAUGAGGCUGACUGCUGUAUGCCAUAGCUCAUUGUCAUGUACCGUUUACUUACAGCUACAUAACUUUCUCUUUUUGUUUCUUGCAUAUUUAAUGUUGUUCUUGGUGAGUGGUGUGGGUGCUGUGACUCAGCCGCAAGUUAGUUUCAUCUACCUAAUGUAGAACAUGUCUGCUGCUAAAAUGCAUCCUUACUAGAAAGAUGGAGAUGGAGAGUCUGAUUUCAGAUAAGCAUCUGCUGCCUUAGCUCAAGUAAGUGCUGGGCACCAUGGCCUAGAUCCACUACAGGACUUAGAUGUCAAAACGCUGAACAUCGCAGCACCUGGUCUUUUAGGUGCCUAGCUAGGUAAUGGAAUCUGCAUCCCCAGUUAAUCACUGUGGUUCCCUGUACAGUGCACGCACAAACCUAUGCAUCUAAGUAUGAGGUCCCACUGACUCCACAAAGUAUGAUAGGGGGCCCAAACCCCAGCCCUUCCAGGGACUUGGGCCUUGGCUACAUGGUAAACUUAAUGUCUGAAUGUGGGACCCUCAAAUGCACUGCUUUGUGUGGGCUACUCCCUAAACCUGAAGCAGCAUAGCUAUGUCUAUGUGGUGCUGUGGCAGGUCAAGUAGUCCUGUUACUCAGCAGUACUAAUGAGCCCGUCCAAAAGGGCUUCACUGCUUCCCUUGAACAGUUUCGAGCAGAACAGCAGGCUGAGGAUGCAGCUGCCAGGCACAGUGAGCUGCCUGUGCAGCAUGGUCUUUGGCACUUGCAGGGAAGUGCCUUCUUCCAUUCAUGCUUUGCAACUCUGAACUCUCUUCAGGAGGUAAGGAUCUAAGUUCCCUCACAAAAUGGAGCCUGUAGGUUUAGAGCAUUCCCCAAAGAUGUAGGAGAGCAUUUGCUUCUCCCUCUAUUUGGGAGGGUGGCAGAAUCAAAGCAUUACAUUUUUCUCAGUGAGGGCUGUUCAGCUGCAAGAAGUCCCAAGGAUUUUAUGCUGUAAUUAUUGUGCACUCCUUUCCAUCACCUUGCUCUUUACACUAUUUGGCCUUGGAGUAAACCUGACGUGUCUGCUUUUAUAGAUCAGCUCAUUGACCAAGAAGCCCUGUAAAAUAGCUGAGCAGUCAAGUGCCUGGAGCUCCCUUUGUGGGUUAGAGAGUGGCUUCUAAGAAGGAACAUGAAAAGAAUCCCUUUCUCCCACUCUGCUCAUUGCUGUAGGGAUUACUAGAAGCAGACAUGAAAUGUCCAGUAUAUACUGAUCUAUAAAUGAAGGCAAUAUUAUCAGCUGGAGUGUUUUUGUAACAAGUCGGGCAGCUAUUCAAGCAGGAAAUGGAAAGAAUGUGUGUUUAACACAGCUUGGAACCAGGUUGCGUAUACACAUCAUCUCUAGUUUAAACGGACAUUAAUGCCUAUCUAUUUUGCUGUGAAAAGGGGAGAUUAACUUAAUUUAAAGUCUGUAAUUUACACUCACAAACGUGAUCUUGUUCCCAAAACAUAUUUGAACUGUAAUCUGAAAGCGCCCAUUCAGUCAGCUGCUGUGUUCCUUAAACCAUACUGCUGAUAAUUCCAGAUUGUGGUAAAGUGGGUUUUUUAAAUGUUGCUUCUGCCCUUCAGAAUGCAGGCCCCUGUCUAUCUGAUGAGCAGUGACCAUGCAGUCCAGUUGUUAUACAUUUUUUAAAAAUAAUUACUUCUACAGCAGGGAGCUUACCACAGUACUGUUUCCAUUUACUUUUAAUGCUGUAGGGCAAAUUAUUUGAAGUGUUCUUUGAUGUUUAGGAAGAAAUAUCCCUUUUUAGACUAGAUUAACUAGUUAAGUCACAGCAAAGUGGAUUCAUUCGAGUUGUUCAAUGACGUCCAUCUCGGCGUUUGGAAUUGCCUCUUUCCAGGGUGCUCUCAGAUUUUCAUUACUAAGUAUACUCUACUCCUCCAGAGUUUUAGGGAGACCUUGUAGCCAAUUAAAAUGCCACUGCUAUUGUGGGUUUGGUUUACAUUUACCACUCACUAUUUUAUCUCCUCUUCCCUUUUCAGCAAAUACUUGAGAGAGUUUUCUGAAGAUCAGCCGAUCUAACAGUAUGAAUAGGAGACUUCUGUCUCAAGGUAGCCUUAUGCUGUGUGAACUGCAAGCGUUCAUCAUGAUGAAAUUUAAUUCUGAUAGGUUGUUUGCCUGCAUGAACUGAACCAAACCAAAGAACUUAAGUUGCCAUUAUCACUUAUCUUUGCAAUCAGCCAUUUUUCUCCUUUAUGUAAUGGACAGAUAAGCUUAAUCAGUUGUAUUCAAAACAGAACAAAAAGCUGGAAAUGGUUUGACUGAGUUAAGCUACAGUGGAACAGGAGAAACAGCACCACUGCUUCAUGUAACAGUGCCUAGUCGCUUACUCCCAGAGGAAGAAGAAACAGUCCAGAAAGACUAAGGUCCUAAAUGGAAUUACAGUGAGAUAAAAUGUUGGACCCAUUGGCUUUUUAGAUGAUAUUCUGUCAGUUCCUGCCUUCAGGAUUCUUUCUUGCUUAAUAUCUGGGCUCACUGUUACCUGGAGUAAGUUGGACUACAGAUUCUAUUGAAACUGAAUAUACUAUAUACUUUAGUGCUGAACUAGAUGAGGGGAAAAAAAAAUCUCUGGACUUUACCCUUCAGCCUUGAGCUCAGUCAUGCUUUUUUUGCAUAUUAACUGUGUCACUGCAUCACAGUAUGAAGUGGCCAUACACAGUUUUUCUAACAAGAAUGAUAGCACCUCCUACUAGCAGGAGAGAGGCUUUAGUGCACACCAUUUGGAACAGUCUUUUACUAAUGUCAUGCUAGAAUGACAUUUCACUGUAAUACAGCAUAGUAUUAUGAGAUGAAAGGUCCAGAACAUGUAUUGUUUAUAGUCCACCCACACUGGUCCACAGAUAAUGAUCAUUUGUAAGCAAUUGCCAUGAUCAUGAGUAAGGCAGUUGAAUUCAUAAACUUAGUGAACAGCCUUCACUCACUUCGCAGAAGUCAAGGCAUUUCAAAUGGUAAAUGAUAAUUAGGUUAUCAUCAUCUUUAAUACGUUUCUUGUUGACGUGCUGAGAAGGGCAGACUUCAUGGCAGUAUAAUGCACGCAGUUUUCUUGCUAUUUUUCAUUGUUAUGUAACACCUUGCCUUGGUUCAGUUGUUAUUUUUCACAUGUUUAGGCAGGCCAUAAGGAUCAAGGUCAUUCAUAAUUUAUCUAUGUAAUAGCUCUAAACCCCCAGAGCUUAAUUAGAUUUACUUUUAUAAAGCAAUUCUGUCCUCACUUAAGACCCAGCAGAUGCAAGGACUACCUGAUUAUAAAAGUAGUUUUUAUGCAGCACAAGACCAAUUUGUACCUUAUCCAUGAAGAUCUUUGGUGCUGCAGCAAGGACAUGAUAAUGCAGGUGCUGGGCAGCUGGGUUUUUUGUGUAUCCCCUUUCCUGACAUUAAAUUAGAAUCAGACUCCACACAUACCAAGCAGCCAGAACAGUCACCAGAUGGCCAAUUGCAACUGACAUUUGAUUUAACAUAUUCUACUGCAGUUCAGUUGCUCUUGAUCUCUUAACAAUAUAAGAGGCAUUCUAUGCACCCUGCCCUUCCAGAAACAUUCAUACAGUUGUAGUUUUUCUUAAAUUAUAUCUGCUUUUACUGGAAAUUUAUUUGUGAAUUGCUUCGCAGGACAUCAAAAUGAGAA